rnacentral:rRNA from 1 species
AUGCCGAGUGAGUGCGCGCCGCCAGCGCUCUUGAGCCGCGCUUGGUGGCUAGGGGCCGCUGUGCUGCUGUUUCUGCUGCUCCAUGGGGGGCUGGCAGAUACAAGCGGCAGGGCCAGCAUGCUCCUAAAUAAGCUCGACGAGGUUCCUGAUCCGGCGGAGGGGCCCCGCCUCGUCCUCGACCCCAGCAGUUACCGCGGUGGUGGAAGCAGGGUUGAGGACGAGUGGAGCACCAAAUUCUGGCGGUUGGGUUGGAGCUCAUACACACCCGUGCUUGUGGAGAUAUGGCGCCAGCUGAGGCCUCUGGCUGUGGCGUUCAGCCGCCGAUUUUAA